UUCGGCUAGGGGGCCAUCCCGGCUUACCAACCCGAUGCAAACUGCGAAUACCGGAGAAUGUUAUCACGGGAGACACACGGCGGGUGCUAACGUCCGUCGUGAAGAGGGAAACAACCCAGACCGCCAGCUAAGGUCCCAAAGUCAUGGUUAAGUGGGAAACGAUGUGGGAAGGCCCAGACAGCCAGGAUGUUGGCUUAGAAGCAGCCAUCAUUUAAAGAAAGCGUAAUAGCUCACUGGUCGAGUCGGCCUGCGCGGAAGAUGUAACGGGGCUAAACCAUGCACCGAAGCUGCGGCAGCGACACUGUGUGUUGUUGGGUAGGGGAGCGUUCUGUAAGCCUGUGAAGGUGUGUCGUGAGGCAUGCUGGAGGUAUCAGAAGUGCGAAUGCUGACAUAAGUAACGAUAAAGCGGGUGAAAAGCCCGCUCGCCGGAAGACCAAGGGUUCCUGUCCAACGUUAAUCGGGGCAGGGUGAGUCGACCCCUAAGGCGAGGCCGAAAGGCGUAGUCGAUGGGAAACGGGUUAAUAUUCCCGUACUUGGUGUUACUGCGAAGGGGGGACGGAGAAGGCUAUGUUGGCCGGGCGACGGUUGUCCCGGUUUAAGCGUGUAGGUGUGUGUUCCAGGUAAAUCCGGUUCACUUUAACACUGAGGCGUGACGACGAGGCACUACGGUGCUGAAGCAACAAAUGCCCUGCUUCCAGGAAAAGCCUCUAAGCAUCAGGUAACAUCAAAUCGUACCCCAAACCGACACAGGUGGUCAGGUAGAGAAUACCAAGGCGCUUGAGAGAACUCGGGUGAAGGAACUAGGCAAAAUGGUGCCGUAACUUCGGGAGAAGGCACGCUGACACGUAGGUGAAGUGAUUUACUCAUGGAGCUGAAGUCAGUCGAAGAUACCAGCUGGCUGCAACUGUUUAUUAAAAACACAGCACUGUGCAAACACGAAAGUGGACGUAUACGGUGUGACGCCUGCCCGGUGCCGGAAGGUUAAUUGAUGGGGUCAGCGCAAGCGAAGCUCCUGAUCGAAGCCCCGGUAAACGGCGGCCGUAACUAUAACGGUCCUAAGGUAGCGAAAUUCCUUGUCGGGUAAGUUCCGACCUGCACGAAUGGCGUAAUGAUGGCCAGGCUGUCUCCACCCGAGACUCAGUGAAAUUGAACUCGCUGUGAAGAUGCAGUGUACCCGCGGCAAGACGGAAAGACCCCGUGAACCUUUACUAUAGCUUGACACUGAACAUUGAGCCUUGAUGUGUAGGAUAGGUGGGAGGCUUUGAAGUGUGGACGCCAGUCUGCAUGGAGCCGACCUUGAAAUACCACCCUUUAAUGUUUGAUGUUCUAACGUGGACCCGUUACCCGGGUUGCGGACAGUGUCUGGUGGGUAGUUUGACUGGGGCGGUCUCCUCCUAAAGAGUAACGGAGGAGCACGAAGGUUGGCUAAUCCUGGUCGGACAUCAGGAGGUUAGUGCAAUGGCAUAAGCCAGCUUGACUGCGAGCGUGACGGCGCGAGCAGGUGCGAAAGCAGGUCAUAGUGAUCCGGUGGUUCUGAAUGGAAGGGCCAUCGCUCAACGGAUAAAAGGUACUCCGGGGAUAACAGGCUGAUACCGCCCAAGAGUUCAUAUCGACGGCGGUGUUUGGCACCUCGAUGUCGGCUCAUCACAUCCUGGGGCUGAAGUAGGUCCCAAGGGUAUGGCUGUUCGCCAUUUAAAGUGGUACGCGAGCUGGGUUUAGAACGUCGUGAGACAGUUCGGUCCCUAUCUGCCGUGGGCGCUGGAGAACUGAGGGGGGCUGCUCCUAGUACGAGAGGACCGGAGUGGACGCAUCACUGGUGUUCGGGUUGUCAUGCCAAUGGCACUGCCCGGUAGCUAAAUGCGGAAGAGAUAAGUGCUGAAAGCAUCUAAGCACGAAACUUGCCCCGA
rnacentral:rRNA from 1 species